rnacentral:rRNA from 1 species
CAUGUCCUUUAGUUUAAAAUUUAAGGUUUAACCUGCCCAGUGAUUAUUUAAAUGGCCGCAGUAUUUUGACUGUGCAAAGGUAGCAUAAUAAUUAGUUUUUUAAUUGAAAACUGGAAUGAAUGGUUUGACGAGAUUAUAUCUGUCUCUUUUUUAAUUAAAGUAAAAAUUUAUUUUUAAGUUAAAAAGCUUAAAUGUUUUAAUAAGACGAGAAGACCCUAUAGAGUUUUAUAUUAAAUUGAAUUUAAGAUUUUAGAAUUUAUUAUUGGGUUUAAUGAUAAUAUUUUGUUGGGGUGACAAAAAGAUUUAAUUAACUCUUUUUUAUAAUCUUACACAGAUGAGUGAUUUUUUGAUCCAUUAUUAGUGAUUAUAAGAUUAAAUUACCUUAGGGAUAACAGCGUUAUUUUUUUAGAGAGUUCUUAUCGAUAAAAGAAAUUGCGACCUCGAUGUUGGAUUAAAGUAUAUUUUGGGUGCAAAAGCUUAAAUAUUGGGUCUGUUCGACCUUUAAAACUUUACAUGAUCUGAGU